rnacentral:rRNA from 1 species
UAGAUGCGAGAGUAGAGCAUAUCAAUAAGCGGAGGAAAAGAAACUAACAAGGAUUCCCUUAGUAACGGCGAGUGAAGCGGGAAGAGCUCAAAUUUGAAAUCUUCAAGGGUUUCCCUUGACGAAUUGUAGUUUAAAGAAGUGUUUUCUGUUAGAGAGGUGGUAAAAGUUCUUUGGAAUAGGACAUCAUAGAGGGUGAGAAUCCCGUAUUUGAUCACUUUCUACUAACGUUGUGAUACACUUUCAAAGAGUCGGAUUGUUUGGGAAUGCAGUCCAAAAUGGGUGGUAAAUUUCAUCUAAAGCUAAAUAUUGGCGAGAGACCGAUAGCGAACAAGUACCGUGAGGGAAAGAUGAAAAGAACUUUGAAAAGAGAGUUAAACAGUACGUGAAAUUGUCAAAAGGGAAGCGUUUGACACCAGUGUUGUUUUUCCGAAAAUCAAUUACGAAUGUUUUAUUUUUGAGGAGUUAUGACUUCAUCGGCUUGCUCCUUUCUUUACUGAAACUUUCUUAAUGCACUUUUCGGUUAACAAGUCAACAUCAAUUUCUUUUGUUGUAAAAGGGUAUGAGGAAGGUGGCUUGCUCUUCGGCGCAAGUGUUUAUAGCCUUGUAUCUCUGCAAUCGGAGAGAUUGAGGUCUGCAGCGUAGAUCCUUCGGGGCUAGAUACAUUUGUGCUAAGUUAUAGCUUUUAUAGACGACAUGUUGACUAUGCUUAAGUCUUGUAGCUUACUCGCAUAUAGCUAUCUUACCUACGCUUAGGAUGUUGACGAGACUGUCGAUCUC